AGUGAAUAGAUACCCGGGUAGUCCACGCCCUAAACUAUGUCAACUAGUUGUCGGGCCUUAUUGGGCUUGGUAAACGUAGCUAAACGCGUGAAAGUUGACCGCCUGGGGAGUACGGUCGCAAGAUUAAAACUCAAAGGAAUUGACGGGGACCCGCACAAGCGGUGGAUUAUGUGGAUUAAUUCGAUGCAACGCGAAAAACCUUACCUACCCUUGACAUGUCAGAAAGUUUUAGAGAUGAAAUCGUGCUCGAAAGAGAAUCUGAACACAGGUGCUGCAUGGCUGUCGUCAGCUCGUGUCGUGAGAUGUUGGGUUAAGUCCCGCAACGAGCGCAACCCUUGUCAUUAAUUGCCAUCAUUUGGUUGGGCACUUUAAUGAGACUGCCGGUGAU
rnacentral:rRNA from 1 species